rnacentral:rRNA from 1 species
AUUGAACGCUGGCGGAAUGCUUUACACAUGCAAGUCGAACGGCAGCACGGACUUCGGUCUGGUGGCGAGUGGCGAACGGGUGAGUAAUGUAUCGGAACGUGCCCAGUCGUGGGGGAUAACGUAGCGAAAGUUACGCUAAUACCGCAUAUUCUGUGAGCAGGAAAGCAGGGGAUCGCAAGACCUUGCGCUGAUUGAGCGGCCGAUGUCAGAUUAGCUAGUUGGUGAGGUAAAGGCUCACCAAGGCGACGAUCUGUAGCGGGUCUGAGAGGAUGAUCCGCCACACUGGGACUGAGACACGGCCCAGACUCCUACGGGAGGCAGCAGUGAGGAAUAUUGGUCAAUGGACGGAAGUCUGAACCAGCCAUGCCGCGUGAAGGAUGAAGGCGUUCUGCGUUGUAAACUUCUUUUAUUUAGGAAGAAACCACUGAUUUCUAUUAGUGUUGACGGUAUUAAAUGAAUAAGCACCGGCUAACUCCGUGCCAGCAGCCGCAGUAA